rnacentral:rRNA from 1 species
GAUGAACGCUGACAGAAUGCUUAACACAUGCAAGUCUACUUGAACUUCGGUUUGGGUGGCGGACGGGUGAGUAACGCGUAAAGAACUUGCCUCACAGAUAGGGACAACAUUUGGAAACGAAUGCUAAUACCUGAUAUUAUGAUUUUAGGGCAUCCUAGAAUUAUGAAAGCUAUAUGCACUGUGAGAGAGCUUUGCGUCCCAUUAGCUAGUUGGAGAGGUAACGGCUCACCAAGGCGAUGAUGGGUAGCCGGCCUGAGAGGGUGAUCGGCCACAAGGGGACUGAGACCAGGCACUUACUCAUACGAGCGGCCGCAGUGGGGACGAUGGGACAAUGGACCAAGAGUUAGAUUAAGCAAUUCAGUGAGAACAAAGAAGUUUGUCGAAAGAGAAGGUGCUGCCAGUUGCGAAGAACAAGAUGACGGUACCAACAAAAGAAGCGACGGCUAAAUACGUU